rnacentral:rRNA from 1 species
GCGGCGUGCCUAAUACAUGCAAGUCGAGCGAAUUGAUGGGAGCUUGCUCCCUGAUAUUAGCGGCGGACGGGUGAGUAACACGUGGGUAACCUGCCUGUAAGAUUGGGAUAACUCCGGGAAACCGGAGCUAAUACCGGAUAACAUGUUGAACCGCAUGGUUCAACAUUGAAAGAUGGCUUUUGCUAUCACUUACAGAUGGACCCGCGGCGCAUUAGCUAGUUGGUGAGGUAACGGCUCACCAAGGCGACGAUGCGUAGCCGACCUGAGAGGGUGAUCGGCCACACUGGGACUGAGACACGGCCCAGACUCCUACGGGAGGCAGCAGUAGGGAAUCUUCCGCAAUGGACGAAAGUCUGACGGAGCAACGCCGCGUGAACGAUGAAGGCCUUCGGGUCGUAAAGUUCUGUUGUUAGGGAAGAACAAGUACCAGAGUAACUGCUGGUACCUUGACGGUACCUAACCAGAAAGCCACGGCUAACUACGUGCCUGCAGCCGCGGUAAUACGUAGGUGGCAAGCGUUGUCCGGAAUUAUUGGGCGUAAAGCGCGCGCAGGUGGUUUCUUAAGUCUGAUGUGAAAGCCCACGGCUCAACCGUGGAGGGUCAUUGGAAACUGGGGAACUUGAGUGCAGAAGAGGAAAGUGGAAUUCCAAGUGUAGCGGUGAAAUGCUAGAGAUUUGGAGGAACACCAUUGGCGAAGGCGACUU